AACGAACGCUGGCGGCAGGCUUAACACAUGCAAGUCGAACGGGCGUAGCAAUACGUCAGUGGCAGACGGGUGAGUAACACGUGGGAACCUUCCUCGUUGUACGGAACAACUCAGGGAAACUUGAGCUAAUACCGUAUACGUCCGAGAGGAGAAAGAUUUAUCGCAAUGAGACGGGCCCGCGUCGGAUUAGGUAGUUGGUGGGGUAACGGCCUACCAAGCCGACGAUCCGUAGCUGAUCUGAGAGGAUGAUCAGCCACACUGGGACUGAGACACGGCCCAGACUCCUACGGGAGGCAGCAGUGGGGAAUCUUGGACAAUGGGCGCAAGCCUGAUCUAGCCAUGCCGCGUGAGUGAUGAAGGCCCUAGGGUUGUAAAGCUCUUUUGUGCGGGAAGAUAAUGACGGUACCGCAAGAAUAAGCCCCGGCUAACUUCGUGCCAGCCGCCGCGGUAAAAC
rnacentral:rRNA from 1 species